ACAUGUCUUUAAGAUUUAUAAUUUAAAGUYUAAUCUGCUCCAUGAUUAAAUUAUUAAAUAGCUGCAGUAUUUUGACUGUACAAAGGUAGCAUAAUCAAUAGUUUUUUAAUUAAAAGCUGGAAUGAAAGAUUUGAUAAGGUUAAUAUUGUCUCAAUUUUAAUAAUAUUAUAAUUUUUUUUUUAGUAAAAAUACUAAAUUGAAUUUAAAAGACGAGAAGACCCUAUAGAUUUUUAUAUUUUUUAGUUUAAUUAAUUUAAAUUAAAAUUUUUGUUAAAUUAAAAAUUAUUUGGUUGGGGUAAUUAUUAAAUUAAUUAAAUUUUAAUUAUAAAUUAACAAUAAUUAUUGGGUUGAUGAUCUUGAAAUUUUGGAAUAAAAGAAUAAAAUACCUUAGGGAUAACAGCGUAAUUUUUUCGGAGAGUUCAUAUUGAUGAAAAAGUUUGCGACCUCGAUGUUGAAUUAAGAUAAAAUUUUAAUGGAGAAAUUAAAAAUUUUUGGUCUGUUCGACCAUUAAAAUCUUACGU
rnacentral:rRNA from 1 species